UACGGAGGGGGCUAGCGUUGUUCGGAAUUCCUGGGCGUAAAGGGCGCGUAGGCGGUUCGUCAAGUCCUGUGUGAAAUCCCCCGGCUCAACUGGGGAACUGCACAGGAAACUAGCGGGCUUGAGUUCGGGAGAGGGAAGCGGAAUUCCGGGUGUAGUGGUGGAAUGCGUAGAGAUCCGGAGGAACACCAGCGGCGAAGGCGGCAUCCUGGACUGGUCCUGACACUCAUGAGCGAAAGCGUGGGGAGCGAUCCGG
rnacentral:rRNA from 1 species